CUAAGGAGCAUCUCCCAUGUCAGCGCGUCAUGUAGUUGGCGUUGCUGGUGGGCAGAGCCUGUUGAGUGAACUUUUGUUUCGCUGCGGGAGCUCAUGGGUGGAACACUGACACGUAUCCCUGGUCAGGCGGCGUCUCCUUUGUGGGGUGUUGUGGGGGUCUAGUCGGCAUGCUGUUGGGUCCUGAGGGAACACGCGUUGUUGUGUGUUUGCUCGGUGCUACAUGGACAUGGCCUACCGGUAGGUGGUCAUCGUGUGGGGGAGUGAGUGUGCUCCUUCGUGUGGUGGCUGUUUGCGUGUGGUGGUGGGUGGUGUGUGUUGUUUGAGAACUGGACAGUGGACGCGAGCAUCUUUAUUUAUUUGUU
rnacentral:misc_RNA from 1 species